GAAAGUAAUUAAGGGCAAACGGCGGAUGCCUUGGCUUGCAGAGGCGAUGAAGGACGUGAUAAGCUGCGAUAAGCUACGGGAAGGUGCACAUAACCUUUGAUCCGUAGAUUUCCGAAUGGGGCAACCCGGCUGGUUGAAGACCAGUCACCGAAAGGAGCAAACCCGGAGAACUGAAACAUCUAAGUACCCGGAGGAAGAGAAAAUAAUUAAUGAUUCCGAUAGUAGCGGCGAGCGAAAUCGGAACAGCCCAAACCAGAAUUGUUUCGGCAAUUCUGGGGUUGUAGGACCACGAUGUGAGAUGUUCCAUAAAGUAGAAUCAACUGGAAAGUUGAACCAUAGAGGGUGAUAGUCCCGUAUACGUACAUGCGAAUUAUUUCUAGUGGUAUCCUGAGUAGGGCGGGACAUGUGAAAUCCUGUCUGAAUCUGUCAGAACCAUCUGAUAAGGCUAAAUACUCCUGCAAGACCGAUAGCGAACUAGUACCGUGAGGGAAAGGUGAAAAGUACCCUGAAUAAGGGAGUGAAAUAGAACCUGAAACCGUUUGCCUACAAGCGGUCGGAGCAUCUUUAAGGUGUGACGGCGUGCCUUUUGUAUAAUGAUCCUACGAGUUACUCGUCACUAGCAAGGUUAAGGACUUCAGGUCCGCAGCCGAAGCGAAAGCAAGUUUGAAUAGAGCGUAUAGUUAGUGGCGGUAGACGCGAAACCGAGUGAUCUACCCAUGGGCAGGUUGAAGCUCUGGUAACACAGAGUGGAGGACCGAACCGGUUGACGUUGAAAAGUCUUCGGAUGACCUGUGGGUAGGGGUGAAAGGCCAAUCAAACUCGGAAAUAGCUCGUUCUCCCCGAAAUGCUUUUAGGAGCAGCGUCGUGUGAAAGAGUAGUAGAGGUAGAGCUACUGGUUGGAUGCGGGGGCUUCAUCGCCUACCAAAUCCUGUCAAACUCCGAAUGCUACUACUUGUUUCACGGCAGUGAGGGCAUGGGUGCUAAGGUCCAUGUCCGAGAGGGAAAGAACCCAGAUCAUCUGCUAAGGUCCCCAAAUGUAUACUAAGUUGAUCAAACGUGGUCAGACUGCUUAGACAGCUAGGAUGUUGGCUUGGAAGCAGCCAUUCAUUUAAAGAGUGCGUAACAGCUCACUAGUCGAGCGGUCAGGCGUGGAUAAUAAUCGGGCAUAAGUAUACUACCGAAGCAAUGGACAUGAAAAUGUGGUAGGGGAGCAUUCUAGUUGCGCCGAAGGUGAAAUGUAAGUUUUGCUGGAGCGGCUAGAAAAGAAAAUGUAGGAAUGAGUAACGAUAAUGCGGGUGAGAAACCCGCACGCCGAAAAUCUAAGGUUUCCUCAGCUAUGCUAAUCAGCUGAGGGUUAGUCGCGACCUAAGGCGAACCCGAACGGGGUAGUCGAUGGACAACAGGUUAAUAUUCCUGUACUGGUUUAUACUGCGAUGGGGUGACGAUGUACUGAAAGCACCGCGGACUGACGGAAUAGUCCGUUGAAAACUGUAUCUAUAGGACCUGUAGGCAAAUCCGCAGGACCUGGAGAAGGUUGAUAGUACCAAGAGUCUUCGGACAAUUGGAUAGUGUGCCUAAAAACAUCCAAGAAAAACCUCUAAGCUUCAGGUAUAAACAACGCGUACCGUAAACCGACACAGGUAGAUGGGAUGAGAAUUCUAAGGCGCUCGAGUGAUUCAUGGCUAAGGAACUAGGCAAAAUCGUCUUGUAACUUCGGGAGAAAAGACGCCUGCUUCGGCAGGCCGCAGUGAAAAGGCCCAGGCGACUGUUUAUCAAAAACACAGGACUCUGCUAAAUCGAAAGAUGAUGUAUAGGGUCUGACACCUGCCCGGUGCUGGAAGGUUAAGAGGAGAUGUUAGCUUCGGCGAAGCAUUGAAUUGAAGCCCCAGUAAACGGCGGCCGUAACUAUAACGGUCCUAAGGUAGCGAAAUUCCUUGUCGGGUA
rnacentral:rRNA from 1 species